rnacentral:rRNA from 1 species
GAUGAACGCUGGCGGCGUGCCUAAUACAUGCAAGUCGAGCGAACAGACGAGGAGCUUGCUCCUCUGACGUUAGCGGCGGACGGGUGAGUAACACGUGGAUAACCUACCUAUAAGACUGGGAUAACUUCGGGAAACCGGAGCUAAUACCGGAUAAUAUAUUGAACCGCAUGGUUCAAUAGUGAAAGACGGUUUUGCUGUCACUUAUAGAUGGAUCCGCGCCGCAUUAGCUAGUUGGUAAGGUAACGGCUUACCAAGGCAACGAUGCGUAGCCGACCUGAGAGGGUGAUCGGCCACACUGGAACUGAGACACGGUCCAGACUCCUACGGAAGGCGGCAGUAUGGAAUCUUCCGCAAUGGGCGAAAACUUGACGGAGCAACGCCACGUGAGUGAUGAAGGUCUUCGGAUCGUAAAACUCUGUUAUUAGGGAAGAACAAAUGUGUAAGUAACUAUGCACGUCUUGACGGUACCUAAUCAGAAAGCCACGGCUAACUACGUG